rnacentral:rRNA from 1 species
AGCGAACGCUGGCGGCAGGCCUAACACAUGCAAGUCGAACGAAGUCUUCGGACUUAGUGGCGGACGGGUGAGUAACACGUGGGAACGUACCUUUUGGUUCGGAACAACUCAGGGAAACUUGAGCUAAUACCGGAUGAGCCCUUAGGGGGAAAGAUUUAUCGCCGAAAGAGCGGCCCGCGUUAGAUUAGCUAGUUGGUGAGGUAAAGGCUCACCAAGGCUACGAUCUAUAGCUGGUCUGAGAGGAUGAUCAGCCACACUGGGACUGAAAAACGGCCCAGACUCCUACGGGAGGCAGCAGUGGGGAAUCUUGCGCAAUGGGCGAAAGCCUGACGCAGCCAUGCCGCGUGAAUGAUGAAGGUCUUAGGAUUGUAAAAUUCUUUUACCAGGGACGAUAAUGACGGUACCUGGAGAAAAAGCCCCGGCUAACUUCGUGCCAGCAGCCGCCGUAAGAC